AGAAAUCCUAUUCGCUAAUACCGAGUGGGGAUGACGGUACCGGAAGAAUAAGCACCGGCUAACUACGUGCCAGCAGCCGCGGUAAUACGUAGGGUGCGAGCGUUAAUCGGAAUUACUGGGCGUAAAGCGUGCGCAGGCGGUUGUGCAAGACAGAUGUGAAAUCCCCGGGCUCAACCUGGGAAUUGCAUUUGUGACUGCACGGCUAGAGUGUGUCAGAGGGGGGUAGAAUUCCACGUGUAGCAGUGAAAUGCGUAGAGAUGUGGAGGAAUACCGAUGGCGAAGGCAGCCCCCUGGGAUAACACUGACGCUCAUGCACGAAAGCGUGGGGAGCAAACAGGAUUAGAUACCCUGGUAGUCCACGCCCUAAACGAUGUCGACUAGUUGUCGGGUCUUAAUUGACUUGGUAACGCAGCUAACGCGUGAAGUUGACCGCCUGGGGAGUACGGUCGCAAGAUUAAAACUCAAAGGAAUUGACGGGGACCCGCACAAGCGGUGGAUGAUGUGGAUUAAUUCGAUGCAACGCGAAAAACCUUACCUACCCUUGACAUGUACGGAACCCUGCUGAAAGGUGGGGGUGCUCGAAAGUGAGCCGUAACACAGGUGCUGCAUGGCUGUCGUCA
rnacentral:rRNA from 1 species